rnacentral:rRNA from 1 species
CCUACGGGUGGCAGCAGUGGGGAAUAUUGCACAAUGGGGGAAACCCUGAUGCAGCCACGCCGCGUGAGUGAAGAAGUAUCUCUGUAUUUAAAGCUCUAUCAGCAGGGAAGAAAAUGACAGUACCUGACUAAUAAGCCCCGGCUAACUACGUUCCAGCAGCCGCGGUUAUACGUAGGGAGCAAGCGUUAUCCGGAUUUACUGGGUGUAAAGGGAGCGUAGACGGCUGCGCAAGUCAGAAGUGAAAGCCCGGGGCUCAAACGGGGCACUGCUUUUGAAACUGUGGAGCUAGAGUGCAGGAGAGGUAGGUGGAAUUCCUAGUGUAGCGGUGAAAUGCGUAGAUAUUAGGAGGAACACCGGUGGCGAAGGCGGCUUACUGGACUGUAACUGACGUUGAGGCUCGAAAGCGUGGGGAGCAAACAGGAUUAGAUACCCGAGUAGUC